GACAGAGGCCUCAAGCGUUAGGCGGAAUCACUGGGCUUAAAGCGUGUGUAGGCGGAUUCCUAAGUACCUUGUGAAAUCCUACGGCUUAACCGUGGAACUGCUUGGUAUACUGGGUGUCUUGAGCCAACUAGGGGCAGUCGGAACAAACGGUGGAGCGGUGAAAUGCGUAGAUAUCGUUUGGAACGCCAAUGGUGAAAACAGACUGCUGGGGUUGUGCUGACGCUGAGACACGAAAGCCAGGGGAGCAAACGGG
rnacentral:rRNA from 1 species